CUAGAUAGCUCAGUUGGUAGAGCAGAGGACUGAAAAUCCUCGUGUCGCUGGUUCGAUUCCGGCUCUAGG
rnacentral:tRNA from 1 species